rnacentral:rRNA from 1 species
GGGAACCUCACCUGGCCCAGACACCGCGAGGAUUGACAGACUGAGAGCUCUUUCUCGAUUCGGUGGGUGGUGGUGCAUGGCCGUUCUUAGUUGGUGGAGCGAUCUGUCUGGUUAAUUCCGAUAACGAACGAGACCCCAACCUGCUAACUAGCCCUCGGGUCCUGCUUCUGUUGGGCCCGACGGAAUGAUUCGCUUCUUAGAGGGACUCGCGGCGCCUAGCCGCACGAAGGGGGGCGAUAA